UGGGGAAUAUUGGACAAUGGGCGCAAGCCUGAUCCAGCCAUGCCGCGUGAGUGAUGACGGCCUUAGGGUUGUAAAGCUCUUUCGCUCGGGACGAUAAUGACGGUACCGAGAUAAGAAGCCCCGGCUAACUUCGUGCCAGCAGCCGCGGUAAUACGAAGGGGGCGAGCGUUGUUCGGAUUUACUGGGCGUAAAGGGCGCGUAGGCGGCGGCCCAAGUCGAGUGUGAAAGCCCCGGGCUCAACCUGGGAGGUGCGCUCGAGACUGGUCUGCUAGAGUUCGGGAGAGGAGAGUGGAAUUCCCAGUGUAGAGGUGAAACUCGUAGAUAUUGGGAAGAACACCGGUGGCGAAGGCGGCUCUCUGGACCGAGACUGACGCUGAGGCGCGAAAGCGUGGGGAGCAAACAGGAUUAGAUACCCUGGUAGUCCACGCUGUAAACGGUGUGUGCUAGACGUUGGGGAGCAUAGCUCUUCGGUGUCGCAGCAAACGCUUUAAGCACACCGCCUGGGGAGUACGGCCGCAAGGUUA
rnacentral:rRNA from 1 species